AGAGUUUGAUCCUGGCUCAGGAUGAACGCUGGCGGCGUGCCUAACACAUGCAAGUCGAACGGAGUUACGAUGAAACCUAGUGAUUCGUAACUUAGUGGCGGACGGGUGAGUAACGCGUGGAUAACCUGCCUUGCACUGGGGGAUAACACUUAGAAAUAGGUGCUAAUACCGCAUAAGCGCACGGAGCCGCAUGGCUCAGUGUGAAAAACUCCGGUGGUGUAAGAUGGAUCCGCGUCUGAUUAGUUGGUUGGCGGGGUAGAAGCCCACCAAGGCGACGAUCAGUAGCCGGCCUGAGAGGGUGAACGGCCACAUUGGGACUGAGACACGGCCCAAACUCCUACGGGAGGCAGCAGUGGGGAAUAUUGCACAAUGGGGGAAACCCUGAUGCAGCAACGCCGCGUGAGCGAAGAAGUCAUUCGUGAUGUAAAGCUCUAUCAGCAGGGAAGAAAAUGACGGUACCUGAGUAAGAAGCCCCGGCUAACUACGUG
rnacentral:rRNA from 1 species